rnacentral:rRNA from 1 species
AUUGAACGCUGGCGGCAGGCCUAACACAUGCAAGUCGAGCGGAUGAAGGGAGCUUGCUCCUGGAUUCAGCGGCGGACGGGUGAGUAAUGCCUAGGAAUCUGCCUGGUAGUGGGGGAUAACGUCCGGAAACGGGCGCUAAUACCGCAUACGUCCUGAGGGAGAAAGUGGGGGAUCUUCGGACCUCACGCUAUCAGAUGAGCCUAGGUCGGAUUAGCUAGUUGGUGGGGUAAAGGCCUACCAAGGCGACGAUCCGUAACUGGUCUGAGAGGAUGAUCAGUCACACUGGAACUGAGACGCGGUCCAGACUCCUACGGGAGGCAGCAGUGGGGAAUAUUGGACCAUGGGCGGAAGCCUGAUCCAGCCAUGCCACGUGUGUGAAGAAGGUCUUCGGAUUGUAAAGCACUUUAAGUUGGGAGGAAGGGCAGUAAGUUAAUACCUUGCUGUUUUGACGUUACCAACAGAAUAAGCACCGGCUAACUUCGUG